AUUCAUCUUCGGGGCGUGGUGAAAUUCCCGACCGGCGGUAAUUGGAGCUCAGUCUCCUUAAGCCCGCGAGCCGAUAAGGCAGGAUCCGGUGCGAUUCCGAGAGCCGACAGUAUAGUCUGGAUGGGAGAAGAUGAAG
rnacentral:ncRNA from 2 species